UAACGAAUAUUCCGCAAUGGACGAAAGUCUGACGGAGCGACGCCGCGUGCAGGAAGAAGUCCUUCGGGAUGUAAACUGCUGUCAGGGGUGAGGAACACAAUGACCAGCCCCGGAGGAAGUACCGGCUAACUCCGUGCCAGCAGCCGCGGUAAUACGGAGGGUACAAGCGUUGUUCGGAAUCACUGGGCUUAAAGGGCGUGUAGGCGGGAUGCAGGGUGUUGGGUGAAAUCCUCGGGCUCAACCCGAGAACUGCCCAGCAAACCGGCAUUCUUGAGGCAGGUAGAGGUGACUGGAACGAUGGGUGGAGCGGUGAAAUGCGUAGAUAUCCAUUGGAACGCCGGUGGCGAAAGCGGGUCACUGGGCCUGUCCUGACGCUGAUACGCGAAAGCGUGGGUAGCAAACAGGAUUAGAUACCCUGGUAGUCCACGCCGUAAACGAUGCGCACUGGGUAUGAGGGACUCUGACGUCCCUUGUGCCGCAGCAAAAGUGCUAAGU
rnacentral:rRNA from 1 species